GCCCUGGUGGAUCAGUUGGAAGAUCCUCCGCUUUCAAUGUGUCAUCUCUGUGAAAAAGCAUUUCAGCGGACGACGCGGGUUCGAGUCCCGCCCGGGGCG